CCUGGAACGGUUAUUUCUACCCUAUUUUGCUCUUCCAGGCACCUCCUACACAUUCACUCAUUUUCCAAUUCACAAACCAAGAGCAAAGAGUUAAGGCAAAGAUCCUUCUUCGUCCAUUGUUUUCCACUCUAAUCUAACAAGAGAAGGAAGAAAAGUGAGUAGCCGCGAAGAACCAAGUCCGACCCCUUUCACUCUCUUGACACUCUCUGUUCGACUACUAGACCGGAAGUUAGCGGCACCCUCCAUCACCAUUCUUCGCCAUCUCCAAUUUUGUUCGAAAGAGGCAGCUUAUUAGAAAUCCUUACACUUCCC